AGUGAACGCUGGCGGUAGGCCUAACACAUGCAAGUCGAACGGCAGCACAGUAAGAGCUUGCUCUUACGGGUGGCGAGUGGCGGACGGGUGAGGAAUACAUCGGAAUCUACUUUUUCGUGGGGGAUAACGUAGGGAAACUUACGCUAAUACCGCAUACGACCUACGGGUGAAAGCAUGGGAUCUUCGGACCUUGCGCGAUUGAAUGAGCCGAUGUCGGAUUAGCUAGUUGGCGGGGUAAAGGCCCACCAAGGCGACGAUCCGUAGCUGGUCUGAGAGGAUGAUCAGCCACACUGGAACUGAGACACGGUCCAGACUCCUACGGGAGGCAGCAGUGGGGAAUAUUGGACAAUGGGCGCAAGCCUGAUCCAGCCAUGCCGCGUGGGUGAAGAAGGUCUUCGGGUUGUAAAGCCCUUUUGUUGGGAAAGAAAAGCAGCAGGUUAAUACCCCGCUGUUCUGACGGUACCCAAAGAAUAAGCACCGGCUAACUUCGUG
rnacentral:rRNA from 1 species